rnacentral:rRNA from 1 species
AGAGUUUGAUCAUGGCUCAGGAUGAACGCUGGCGACGUGGAUAAGGCAUGCAAGUCGAACGGUUGUAGCAAUACAACAGUGGCGAACGGGUUAGUAACACGUAGAUAUCAACCCUUUACUCGGGCAUAACCUGGAGAAAUCUAGGCUAAUUCCCGAUAGUCCGGAAACGGUAAAGAUUUUUCGGUAAAGGAUGAGUCUGCGUCCUAUCAGCUAGUUGGUGAGGUAAUGGCUCACCAAGGCAAUGACGGGUAGGCGGAGUGAGAGCUUGACCGCCAACAAUGGCACUGAGACACGGGCCAUACUCCUACGGGAGGCAGCAGUCGAGAAUAUUUGACAAUGGGCGAAAGCCUGAUCAAGCGACGUCGCGUGUGGGAUUAAGAUCUUCGGAUUGUAAACCACUUUUCUAGGGGAAGAACUUUGACUGUACCCUAGGAAUAAGGGGUGACUAAACUCGUGCCAGCAGUAGCGGUAAUACGAGUGCCCCAAGCGUUAUCCGGAUUUAUUGGGCGUAAAGGGUCUGUAGGUGGUUUGUUAAGUUUCUCGUUAAAGCUCCAGGGCUUAACCUUGGAAAAGCGGGAAAAACUGGCAAACUAGAGGAUGUUAGAGGCUGAUGGAACACUUGGUGAAGGGGUGGAAUCCGUUGAUAUCAAGUGGAACACCGAAAGCGAAAGCAAUCAGCUGGGACAGUCCUGACACUGAAAGACGAAAGCGUGGGGAGAGAAAAGGAUUAGAUACCCUUGUAUUCCACGCCUUAAACGAUGAAUACUAGCUAUUGCAAGUGUCGACCCUUGCAGUGGCGAAGCUAACGCGUUAAGUAUUCCGCCUGGGAAGUACGGCCGCAAGUGUGAAACUCAAAGGAAUUGACGGGGACCCGCACAAGCAGCGGAGCAUGUGGUUUAAUUCGAAGCAACGCGAAGAACCUUACCAGGUCUUGACAUCCUUCUGGAUAGUCCUUAGCCGGACUAGCCCUUCGGGGCAGAAGAGACAGGUGGUGCAUGGUUGUCGUCAGCUCGUGUCGUGAGAUGUUGGGUUAAGUCCCGCAACGAGCGCAACCCUUGUGUUUAGUUGCCAACAGGUAAAGCUGUGCACUCUAGACAGACUGCCGUGGAAAACACGGAGGAAGGUGGGGAUGACGUCAAAUCAUCAUGCCCCUUAUGAUCUGGGCUACACACGUGCUACAAUGGCCGGUACAACGGGCAGCGAAGGAGCGAUCCGGAGCGAAUCCUAAAAAGCCGGUCCCAGUUCGGAUUGCAGGCUGCAACUCGCCUGCAUGAAGUCGGAGUUGCUAGUAAUCGCGAAUCAGCAUGUCGCGGUGAAUGCGUUCCCGGGUCUUGUACUCACC